rnacentral:rRNA from 1 species
UACAUGGGGUGCAAACGUUGCUCGGAAUUAUUGGGCGUAAAGCGCGCGUAGGCGGUUACUUAAGUCGGAUGUUAAAGCCCUCGGCUUAACUGAGGAAGUGCACCCGAAACUGAGUAGCUAGAGUACGAAAGAGGGUCGCGGAAUUCCCGGUGUAGAGGUGAAAUUCGUAGAUAUCGGGAGGAACACCGGUGGCGAAGGCGGCGACCUGGGUCGAGACUGACGCUGAGGCGCGAAAGCGUGGGGAGCAAACAGG